rnacentral:lncRNA from 1 species
UGCGUGAGACUUACAAAAGAAAGAGAAGAAAAGGUUUCGAAAUCAAACUACAAGAAAGCAUAAGCUGACCAUGCAUGCAUGGAGAAAAUAAAAAUAUCAUAACUCAGUAUGCAUCAGGGGGACUAGGUGGGGAGGAACGGAGAACAAGUCACUUGCUCUUCCUCCUAAUAAAAACCCCUUAAAAGAAAAAAACUGGCAAGUGAUUGAUAUGCCUAGUCUAAUACAUGCACAGGAGGAAACUAAGAAAUGAAAG